rnacentral:lncRNA from 10 species
CUGGAUGGAUGGAUGAAGGCACUCUCCCAGGCUUCCAACUCUUGAAGGUGAUUUUCUGCAAAUAUGGAAAUGAACUGGAAGUGGGCAAAGGUAAUAACAGGGAGACCCUUCGGAGGGUAUUGCAGCUGAAGUGAGAGAUGGUGGCCAGAAUUGGAAUGGUGGAUAAAGGAGGAGCCCCACUCCUCACCACCAGUAUGUUCAUAUGAUGCAACAAGAACAUACUCCUUCUCUGCUUGGUCUUCAGUGCAGGGCAGCCUGACACACGCUAUUCUUCUGACCUCCUAUGCCAUCACUGCCCUUUUGGGGGGACAUGAUGCUCAUGUCCCCCAAAUACUUCCCUUUUUCCCCUCUUCCCAAACUAUGACAGGACUUUCCCAGAGCCCUUCUACUUAGAAUGUUCUUCUUUCUUUUUGGCAAAGCCUGGCUUUUCUUGCUAUCUAAAUUUUCUAAUAAAAUACCAACUCUCUGAAGGCUUUUCCUGAUUCCUGGGGUAGUGGCAGCAAUGUGCACCUCUGUGCUCCCAUGGUGCUUUGUUCACGUCUGGAGUUUUGCACCUGCUCACACCAUGUUGUACACUCUCUGCUUGAGUGUCUGUCUCCUAACCAGAUCCCUAGCUCCUAGUUACAAACUCA